UUCCAGAACUUAUGCUCCACAAUGCAUGAAUCCUAAUUACAUUUAAGACAAGUUGAACUUCCUCAUGGAAAUUAAGAAAAUGAGGAAAACCGUUUACUCAGUGAUUUCACAGCCUUGAAGAAACAGAAAAACUGAAAGGUUCGUGUCUUGUUAGCACCAGCUUCCGAGAGAAGCUAGACAAAAAGGUCCCAUUCUUUUGCAGGCUUCAUUAGAACUCUCUUGAGCUUACAUCUUUCCAGACACCAAAAACAUGAAGAAUCCAACAGAACACACUUGAAAAUGAAUAAUGGUCAAGUCAUGAACAAACUUUAUGAUAAACAACCCCAAAUGUAAGAAAAGAGCCAAGAAUAUUUGCAAAUUGAGUAUUGCAAUAUACUUCAGUGAAGAGAGAAAUAGAAUGCCUAAUAGAUUAAACUGAAGGCAGUUUAAUGGGAGCCAACAACUGGGCAAAAAGAAAAUGAAAAGCACAGGUUAUUCCGUAUGAAGCAAGACCUUGGGAUGAUACGGGAGUGAAAACGUGCAUAGGUUUUCAAUGCAAUGGAAAUAGCAAAAAUGAUGUUGUUAAUUUGUAUAGCUUGUGCCAAAGUGGAAUCUCCCUAGUAAAGUGAGCCUUGAAUUCCUCAUUUACUUAAGGGCAAGUUGGCGGCAGAAAGACAUAGAA